CUGACGAGUCCCAAAUAAGACGAAACGCGCGUC
rnacentral:hammerhead_ribozyme from 1 species